rnacentral:rRNA from 1 species
AGCGACAGGCCUACACAUGCAAGCGAGGGGCAGCACAUGAGUAGCAAUACGAUGGUGGCGACCGGCGCACGGGUGAGUAACACGUAUGCAACCUACCUUUAACAGGGGAAUAACCCGUUGAAAAACGGACUAAUACUCCAUAACACAGGGGUCCCGCAUGGGAAUAUUUGUUAAAGAUUAAUCGGUUGAAGAUGGGCAUGCGUUCCAUUAGCUUGUUGGUGAGGUAACGGCUCACCAAGGCCACGAUGGAUAGGGGAACUGAGAGGUUUAUCCCCCACACUGGAACUGAGACACGGUCCAGACUCCUACGGGAGGCAGCAGUGAGGAAUAUUGGUCAAUGGAGGCAACUCUGAACCAGCCAAGUCGCGUGAAGGAUAGAAGGUCUUAUGGAUUGUAAACUUCUUUUGCAAGGGAAUAAAGUGGGGGACGUGUCCUCCUCUCGCAUGUACCUUGCGAAUAAGGAUCGGCUAACUCCGUGCCAGCAGCUGC